ACUCCUACGGGAGGGCAGCAGUGGGGAAUGCUUGCGCAAUGGGCGGAAGCCUGACGCAGCAACGCCGCGUGUUGGGAAGACGGGCCUUACGGGGUUGUAAAACCUACUUUUCAGGGGGGGACGAAGCCACUCAGGUUAAUAGCCGAGAGGGUGACGGUACCCCCAGAAGAAGCCCCGGCUAACUACGUGCCAGCAGCCGCGGUAAUACGUAGGGGCGAGCGUUGUCCGGAAUCAUUGGGCGUAAAAGCGCGUGUAGGCGGCUUGGUCAUGUUUGGUGUGAAAAUCCCGGGGNUCAACCCCGGAACUGCACUGAAUACUGCCUCGCUAGAGUCCGGGAGAGGAGUUGGGAAGUUCCCAGUGUAGCGGUGAAAAUGCGCAGAUAUUGGGAAGAACACCAAUGGCGAAGGCACAACUCUGGAACGGUAGCUGACGCUGAGACGC
rnacentral:rRNA from 1 species